rnacentral:snoRNA from 1 species
CAGGCUGUGAUGAUUGGCGCAGGGGUACGGACCUCAGCUGAAUCAUGGGAGCUGAAUGUAUGUGUGGCUCUGUCCUCCUGCAUGUGGCAGGUUGAUGGGAAGCACUUACAUGAGACUUGUGCCUGAAUCUGAGCCUU